rnacentral:rRNA from 1 species
AGUGACACGUGGAUAACCUACCUAUAAGACUGGGAUAACUUCGGGAAACCGGAGCUAAUACCGGAUAAUAUUUUGAACCGCAUGGUUCAAAAGUGAAAGACGGUCUUGCUGUCACUUAUAGAUGGAUCCGCGCUGCAUUAGCUAGUUGGUAAGGUAACGGCUUACCAAGGCAACGAUGCAUAGCCGACCUGAGAGGGUGAUCGGCCACACUGGAACUGAGACACGGUCCAG